GGCGCAGUGGCAGAGUGGUCUAAUGCGAUAGACUAGAACGUCUUUGAACUUGAUCAGAGAUCCUAGCGUAUCUAUUCCCUUCGGGGGCGUCUGUUCGAAUCAGGCCUGCGUCG